CCACGAAAAUGGUAUCACAAACUAACUCUUAGAUAAGAUAAAACUAUUAAUAAAAAGUAUUAGAAUAACAAAUCUAAUUAGCCAAAACUGAGAACGUUUCUCAAACCAAUAUCCAUCACCGGUAUCCAAAAUAUUUAUAUCCCUCAAUCUACUCUGAUAUGCUUCUAUGCGGCACUAUUCAAUUUCCAGGCACGCUACCGUUGCUCCUUCGCGAAAUAGGGAUUUUAUUCCCUUUUGUUUCAUGGGAAAAAUCCAAUGAUAAAAUAAUUUUUUUUCUUUUCUUUCUUUUUGGUGUGGGCUCUUACUUAAAAGAGAGAUUCAUCCAACAAUUUUCCCCUCAUGAUUCAAGUGGGGCAAACCGUUGUUACUAUGACAAUU
rnacentral:lncRNA from 1 species